UACGAAGGGGCUAGCGUUGCUCGGAAUCACUGGGCGUAAAGGGUGCGUAGGCGGGUCUUUAAGUCAGGGGUGAAAUCCUGGAGCUCAACUCCAGAACUGCCUUUGAUACUGAGGAUCUUGAGUUCGGGAGAGGUGAGUGGAACUGCGAGUGUAGAGGUGAAAUUCGUAGAUAUUCGCAAGAACACCAGUGGCGAAGGCGGACUCACUGGCCCGAUACGUGAC
rnacentral:rRNA from 1 species